ensembl:processed_transcript
GCUGAUGUUUGUGUACUGACUGAAUGUCAAUCUGUGUGUGUUUACAGUCUGGACCAUGGAGGAGAGACGAGGAUUACAGCAGGACCACGCAAAUAUGUCUGUUUCCUCACUCUGGAUCCAAACACAGCACACACUCAACUCAUUCUGUCUGAGGAGAACAGAGAGGUGAAGUGUGUGAGAGAGAAUCAGCCGUAUCCUGAUCAUCCAGACAGAUUUGAUGUUCAUCAGCAGGUGUUGUGCAGAGAGAGUGUGUGUGGACGCUGUUACUGGGAGAUUGACUGGAGUGGAGAUGAUGAUGUGUGUAUAUCAGUGUCAUAUAAGAGCAUCAGGAGGAAGGGAGGAGGUGCUAAGUGUUUGUUUGGAUAUAAUGCUCAGUCCUGGAGUUUGAGCUGCUCUUCCUCCAGAUUCAUAUUCAGACACAAUAACACAGACACUGCUCUCCCAGUAAAGCCCCUCAGCAGGAGAAUAGGAGUGUUUGUGGAUCACAGUGCAGGAACUCUGAUCUUCUACAACAUCUAUAGAGACACAAUGAGCCUCAUCCACUCAGUCCAGACCACAUUCACUGAGCCGCUCUGCCCUGGGUUUACUGUUUAUCCUGGAUCAUCAGUGAAACUGAGCUGAAGACUGACGAAUGAUUUACCCAGAAUCCUCUGCAGGAACAGUCAGCAGCAGUGUGCGUGUGUGAGAGAGAGUCUGUAUUUGUGUGUGUGUGUGUGUGUGUGUGUAUGUAUGUGUGUGUUUGAGAGAGAAAGUCUGUAUUUGUGUCUGUGUGUGUGUGUGCGCGUGCGUGUGUGAGAGCGCGUGCAUGUGUGUGUGUGUCCAUGUGCGUGUGUGAGAGUCUGUUUGUGUGUGUGUGCGUGUUUGCGUGCGUGCGUGUGCUUGUGUGUGCGUGUGUGCUUGUGUGCGUGUGUGUGUGCGUGUGUGUGUGUGUGUUUCUCAGUCUUCAUCAGUGUCAUCAUUGAUGUUGAUGAAGUGUCCUCCAGGAUGCUGCUGUGUUCAGAUCAGCUCAUUCUUGUCUACAGAUUGAUCUUCUUCAUUGUUUCUCUGUUGUUUGAGCACAAAUAAUAAAAGUCAAUGUCAAAUCCACUGCUGAUAUUAGAAUGUGAUGAUGAACAUGGAAAUGUCUGAAUCCUGUCUGAAUCUCUGUCAAAUCUUGAAUCAACUGUAGAGAAAUCCAGCAGCUCAAUGAAUAAAGGAGAAAUGAAGUGUGACGUUUGUUUCUGCUCUUCUGAUCUUCUUCUUCUUCAUGAUUUGACUUGAACUGAACAAUAAAAACACAUUUAUUCCAGUAUUUAUUGAUCUGUUCAUGUUAGUUGAUGACAGUAAAGUUGUUCUCUGUUAGUUCUUGUUGACUCUCAGUGCAUUAACUGAUGUUCACCAGCACAACUGUGGAUUAAUAAUGCUUCAGUAAAUGUCUGAUCACUCUCAUUCAUUACGAG